rnacentral:lncRNA from 1 species
AGUCACGUCAAACAGUGCAGACAGAAAAACAACAGUAGCUGCAAUUGUUUAAGCUGUUUUCUAGUGACAUUUAUUUGGAUUCAUCCAUAACAAUGAGCUAAUGUUAUGUGAGGCGCGAUUUCGUCAAGAAACUUGUUCAGAGGAGCUAGCCAACACAAUCACUUCACAUUUUAACUGGAAAGACUGCAAACUACAGUAGCUGCACUUUAUUUCGUUUUAACUUUUUUCAAUUGCCAUUUUUUUUGUGAUGCCAGCUGAUUCAUGAUUUCGACUGGCUGAGAAACGCUGCCUGCCUGUCAAUCUCGUCCCGACUCGUUCAUUACUAUGGGACAGCUGUAGAUCGAAUUUGAAUAUUGAAACGAUAUUGCAAAUAUCGGAGAGACAGACAGCAAGGUUAAUACAAAUCUCUGCUGUUGGAAACUAAAUGUUAUUCUAAAAAAAAUGUGAGAUAAUGUCUAGAUGCUUUUUAUAGUGGAGAUCAAGUUUAUAAUUUGCCUGGCUGGGUUGAUGAGACAGUGGAUUGCGCAGUCAAAUGGAACAGAGUAAAUAGCCAUAUUAACGUCAUAGAUUUAGCUCUUGGUAGCUUGUGGAAUAGACACCGGCUGGGAUGCGCUUUUAACCAGCAUUCAGGGUACAGGAUUAGACCCACCCGUUGUAUAAAACAGACCAACAGACCAACACAUCUUCACACGAAUGUCCACGGUGGGUCUCUGUAAAUUAUGCGAUUAUAUUGGAGACAGUUUAAUAGCGGUGACUGUCAUCAAUUCAUUUACUCUUAUAGUAUUUCUAAGUAGAAUCCAUAUCAGCCAGGGAAACUUUGUGAUAGAACAUUCAGAUUUGUCUGCCUGACUGUGGGACUCUAUACCUGAAUUAUUAGGAUUUUUUUGUGAUCACAACAAAACUAGGUAUUUUGAUCAAAUAUAGAUAUAAUAAAUGUUUAUCUUUCAAAAUAUGGGCCUGGCUGAGAAUAUAACAUUAAGUUUUCUGCCUGAGUGUGGCGCUGUUUACCACAUUUUUUAAAUCAUUUUGUGACUGUAACAAAGCUACUUUUACUCAACUAGAGAUGAAAAUAAAUAGUGUUUCUUUAAAAAGAUGGGCCUGGCUAACAUGGACUGUUUCCUCACCUUAUUCUCCUUGUGGUUAUCCAUGGUUGUUGGUUAUUUGCCAGGACCUGAGGCUCUUGGACUGCGACUGAGGACACCCCAGCCUGACACCUGAAUGUGCCUGGCCCAAUCCCACCUUGCCCUCCUCUACCAGCCUGUGGCUACCUCCACUGAUUCUUUCUCCCCCUCAAGUCACUAACCUACUCCCCACACACCUAGAAACUUGUAUUUCAUUACUUACCAUAUGACUUUAUGAAAGGCCAUCGGUUCAUGGAGUCUUAAAGUUAAAUCAAAUACAGAUUCGUGCAAACUGGAAGUGUGACUUCUUUCCCCAAUGAUUUCUGAAGGCUGAGCCAUUACAGAACCACCCACCAUCAACGGACCAAGCAGCGUGGGAGAAAGGAGUCAUGGACCUGUGAGGAAAUCCUGGAUGGGGCAGGACCGUGGACAAGGCCGGGAGAAUACCGCCGCCUGCCGGAGGAGAUAGAGGCAGCGAGGGCAGAACGGCGUUUCUGGGAGGAUCGGCUGGCACGGGAAGUGCCAUGCUAGAGUGGGCAUCGAGCCAGGACGGGUUGUGCAGGCCGUGCGCUCCAGACCUCCAGUGCGUCUCCAGGACCCGGUCUAUCCUGUGCCUGCUCCCAGAGCCAGGCCUCCUGCAUGUCUCCCCAGCCUGGUGCGUCCUGUGCCUGCGCCCAGAGCCAGGCCUCCUGCAAGUCUCCCCAGCCUGGUGCGUCCUGUGCCUGCUCCCAGAGCCAGGCCUCCUGCAUGUCUCCCCAGCCUGGUGCGUCCUGUGCCUGCGCCCAGAGCCAGGCCUCCUGCAAGUCUCCCCAGCCUGGUGCGUCCUGUGCCUGCUCCCAGAGCCAGGCCUCCUGCAUGUCUCCCCAGCCUGGUGAGUCCUGUGCCUGCGCCCAGAGCCAGGCCUCCUGCAUGUCUCCCCAGCCUGGUGAGUCCUGUGCCUGCGCCCAGAGCCAGGCCUACUGAAAGGCCCGCCUGUCCGGCGCAGCCAGAGUCGCCCGCCUGUCCGGCGCAGCCAGAGUCGCCCGCCUGUCCGGCGCAGCCAGAGUCGCCCGCCUGUCCGGCGCAGCCAGAGUCGCCCGCCUGUCCGGCGCAGCCAGAGUCGCCCGCCUGUCCGGCGCUGCCGGCGAGGGACCCCGCUCUAGAGGCGCCACCAAAGUGGGGUGAACCAGUGGUGGAGCGGGGUCUGCGUCCCGCUCCUGAGACACCUCCGUAGGGGGGAGGAUUGGGAAGGGGGGUUGUAGCACAAGAACCGUCGUUGACGGUGGCCACCCUCCCUUCCCUCCCUUUUAGUUUGGGGUUGUUUUUGUGUUUUUUUUGUUUUUGUUUGAGGUGCAUUUCGGGGUCUGCAUCUUUGGGGGGGGUGUACUGUCACGUCCUGACCAGUAAAAGGGGUUAUUUGUUAUUGUAGUUUAGUCAGGGCGUGGCAGGGGGUGUUUUUCUGUGUGUUUUGGGGUUACAUUCUAUGUCCUUUUUUGUAUGUUUGGUAUUUCUUUGUUUUUGGCCUGGUAUGGCUCUCAAUCAGGGACAGCUGUACAUCGUUGUCGCUGAUUGGGAGCCAUUCUUAGGUAGCCUGUUUCCCUUUGGGUUUUGUGGGUGGUUUAUUUCUGUUGAGUUAUUUUACCUGACAGAACUGUUUGGCUGUCUUUUGUUUAUUUGUAAAGUGUUCUAAUUUUCCAAUAAAUUACAAAGAUGAGCACUAACCACGCUGCGCC